AAUACAUGGACGACCUUUUGUGUUGGUAAUAAACAAGUCAGUCAUAAACAGGAAAAUAAACACGUAUUAAUAACGUGCUUUGAUUCACAUAGUCGGCUAUAAAGACAAUGUUUUUAAAUAUCGUUCUCUGCUAUAUAUUAAAAGUCAAUGUCAAUGUUGAAUACGUAGUGGGCUACUAGGCUUAUAUUCGGGGGACCUCUAUUUGGGGGACUUAUUUUCGGGUGGGCUUAUAUUUGGAAUGAGGUGAGCGUUAGUAUAUGUGGUGGGCUUAUAUUCGGGGGAGGGGGCUUAUAGUCGGAGGUUUACGGUAUACUAGGUCCUGCCAUGCUAAGGUAUGGGUAAAUGUCAAGAUUUUGUUGACAUCUCACUCGAUUGAGUAAUAGUUGAGGGUUUUGUAGACGGAAAUUAUCGAAAUUCUAUAUACAUUUAUUAUUACAUGUAUUUCAAAAACUCAUUAACAAUUCAUGAGGAAGACACAAAGAAAAAUCAUAAGCGU